rnacentral:misc_RNA from 1 species
AAGUCGUAACAAGGUUUCCGUAGGUGAACCUGCGGAAGGAUCAUUAACACGUAUCCAAACGUAAAAAACCCCCCCCGUGAACAUUCAAUCCUGCUCUUGUAACCCGCGUAGUUCGCAAUCUCUGGUAAAUCAUAGCCCGGAAAGUAGUUUUGAUUCAGAGACCUCUGGCUACAAUCGAGCGGUAGUUUCAUAGGCAUUGUUUCCCCAAGCAGUCAGUGUCUGAAAGUGUCACUGAUUGUGCAAGGAUAGCGCUUCAACGAUUCCUGUAGACCGUACACUCGGGCAGGAGCUAUGCCAAAGGGUCCCCAUGCCCCCUUAUAACCCCACAGUUUAAUGUGAAGCUCAAUGUAAUACAUUGGGUAAAAAAACCGAACAACUGUUAACAAUGGAUAUCUUGGUUCUC